rnacentral:rRNA from 1 species
GGGAUGCCGUUCGAAACUGUCAUGGCUAGUUCCGGUAGAGGUGAGUGGAAUUCUCGGUGUAGCGGUGAAAUGCGCAGAUAUCGAGAGGAACACCAGUAGCGAAGGCGGCUCACUGGGCCGGUAAAGACGCUGAGGAGCGAAAGCGUGGGGAGCAAACAGGAUUAGAUACCCUGGUAGUCCACGCCGUAAACGUUGAACACUAGGUGUGGUGGGCAGAUCCAUGUCUGCCGUGCCGAAGCUAACGCAUUAAGUGUUCCGCCUGGGGAGUACGGCCGCAAGGCUAAAACUCAAAGGAAUUGACGGGGCCCCGCACAAGCGGCGGAGCAUGCGGCUUAAUUCGAUGCAACCCGAAGAACCUUACCUGGACUUGACAUCAUGGGUCUAUCUGUGGAAACACAGAGUGCUUUUGCGCCCAUGACAGGUGGUGCAUGGCU